GGGCUCCUAUUCUUCUGGAGGCAGACAACAUGGUAAACCAGGCUACUCAGGAAGCACUUACUCUGGGAAGCAGAAUUCAACUAACUCCGGUGGCAGUCAA